rnacentral:rRNA from 1 species
CUUAAGCUCUUGUAAAACCUAUAUGGUGUUUCUGUAACGAAUGCAAGUUUAACUUAUUUAUAUAUAUAUGAAAGAUGUUUAUAAAAUGUGUGGGUGUGUGUGGGUUUCAUAUGGUACUUGGUCUUGGUCAGGGACGUACUAACUAUUGAUAGUGAUCCGGGUUGGCCGGCCUUGGGUUACAUUUAAUAGGGAUGCAUGCUCUAGUAUUCGGCCUAGGGAUCUAGAAUGUGUUUCGGGAACCUUGGGCUGAAUGUUUGGGUACGUAUCACUGGCAUCUUCGGUCUGGUUUGGGUUUAAGUGAUUGGUCGUGCAUGUUCUUAUUUGAUUGUUGCACGACUGAUCAAGUCAACUUUGACCUAGACCGGAUCGGGGGUGUUACAAUUGGGGGCAUUCAUAUUUCAUAGUCAGAGGUGAAAUUCGUGGAUUUAUGACAGACGAACAACUGCGAAAGCAUUUGCCAAAGAUAUUUUGAUCAAUUAAGAACGAAAGUUGGGGGCUCGAAGACGAUCAGAUGCUGUCCUUGUCUCAACCAUAAACGAUGCCAACCAGGGAUCAGUGGAUUUUAUAUUUAGGACUCCUCUGGUACCUUAUGUGAGAUCAUAGUUUUUGGGUUCCGGGGGACUAUGGUUGCAAGGCUGAAACUUACAGGAAAUAGCGAAAGGGCACCAACAGGAUUGGAGCCUGUGGCUUAUUUUGACUCAACACGACGAAACUUACCAUGGCCAGCCAUAGUAAGGAUUGAGAGACUGGGAGCUCUUUCUUGAUUCUAUGGGUGGUGGUGCAUGGCCGUUCUUAGUUGGUGGACUGAUUUUUCCGGUCAAUUCCGUUGACGAACGAGACUUCAGCCUGCUAACUAGAAUCCCUUCAUGGCCGUCUUAGACGGACUAUGGCCGUUUAGGCCAAGGAAGUUUGUGGUAAUAACAGGUCUGUGAUACCCUUCGAUGUUCUGGGCCGCACAAGCGCUACACUGAUGUAUUCAACGAGUUCACACCUUGGCCGACAGGCUCGAGUAAACAUUGAAAUUUCAUCAUGAUGGAAAUAGAUCGUUGCAAUUGUUGGUAUUCAACGAGGAAUUCAUAGUAAGCGUGAGUCAUCAGCUCGCGUUGACUUUGUCCUUGCCCUUUGUACACACCGCCCGUCGCUCCUACCGAUUUAAUGUUCCUGUGAAGUGUUUGGAUCGCGGUGAUGUGGGUGGUUCGCCAUCUACGACGUCGCGAGGAGUCCAGAAAACGUUAUCAUUUAGAGGAAGGAGAAGUCGUAACAAGGUUUCUGUAGGUGAACCUGCGGAAG